AGUUGAUUUCUCGUCAAGCCAUUCAUUCCAGCCACUAAUUAAGAGACUAAUGAUUAUGCUACCUUUGCACGGUAAAAAUACUGCGGCUCUUUAAAAAUCUGCUCAGUGAGCAGGCCAGACCUCAAAGUAUUUUCAAGAGGACAUGUUUUUGAUAAACAGGCGGAAAUCAAUUUUGCCUAUUUCCUUAUAAUAAA